UACGGAGGGUGCAAGCGUUAUCCGGAUUUACUGGGUUUAAAGGGUGUGUAGGCGGGCUUUUAAGUCAGUGGUGAAAUCUCCGGGCUCAACCUGGAAACUGCCAUUGAUACUAUUAGUCUUGAAUUUUGUUGAGGUAGGCGGAAUAAGUCAUGUAGCGGUGAAAUGCAUAGAUAUGACUUAGAACACCAAUGGCGAAGGCAGCUUGCUAAACAAAUAUUGACGCUGAGGCACGAAAGCGUGGGGAGCAAACAGG
rnacentral:rRNA from 1 species